AGUUUGAUCAUGGCUCAGAUUGAACGCUGGCGGUAUGCUUAACACAUGCAAGUCGAACGGAAACGAUACUAGCUUGCUAGUAGGCGUCGAGUGGCGGACGGGUGAGUAACGCGUAGGAAUCUGCCUGAUAGUGGGGGAUAGCCCGGAGAAAUUCGGAUUAAUACCGCAUAAUCUACACGUAGUAAAGGAGGCCUCUAUUAUUAAGCUUUCGCUAUCAGAUGAGCCUGCGUAAGAUUAGCUUGUUGGUGAGGUAAAAGCUCACCAAGGCGACGAUCUUUAGCUGGUCUGAGAGGAUGAUCAGCCACACUGAGACUGAGACACGGCCCAGACUCCUACGGGAGGCAGCAGUGGGGAAUAUUGGACAAUGGGGGCAACCCUGAUCCAGCAAUACCGCGUGUGUGAAGAAGGCCUGAGGGUUGUAAAGCACUUUCAAUUGUGAAGAAAAGCUAAAGGUUAAUAACCUUUAGCCUUGACGUUAACUUUAGAAGAAGCACCGGCUAACUCCGUGCCAGCAGCCGCGGUAAUACGGAGGGUGCAAGCGUUAAUCGGAAUUACUGGGCGUAAAGCGUGCGUAGGUGGUUUGUUAAGUCAGAUGUGAAAGCCCCGGGCUCAACCUGGGAACUGCAUUUGAAACUGGCUAACUAGAGUAUA
rnacentral:rRNA from 1 species